AGCGAACGCUGGCGGCAGGCCUAACACAUGCAAGUCGAACGAACUCUUCGGAGUUAGUGGCGGACGGGUGAGUAACACGUGGGAACGUGCCUUCAGGUCCGGAAUAACUCAGGGAAACUUGUGCUAACACCGAAUGUGCCCUUCGGGGGAAAGAUUUAUCGCCUUUAGAGCGGCCCGCGUCUGAUUAGCUAGUUGGUGAGGUAAUGGCUCACCAAGGCUACGAUCAGUAGCUGGUCUGAGAGGAUGACCAGCCACAUUGGGACUGAGACACGGCCCAAACUCCUACGGGGGGCAGCAGUGGGGAAUCUUGCGCAAUGGGCGAAAGCCUGACGCAGCCAUGCCGCGUGGAUGAUGAAGGUCUUAGGAUUGUAAAAUCCUUUCACUGGUGAAGAUAAUGACUGUAGCCGGAGAAGAAGCCCCGGCUAACUUCGAGCCAGCCGCCGCCGUAACAC
rnacentral:rRNA from 1 species